rnacentral:misc_RNA from 1 species
UCUUGCUGUAGUAGAAUGCUUGGUCUUACAUAUGAAUCCAAGAGGGGUUACAUAGGCCUUGAGUAUUGUGGUAGGACUGUAAGCAUCAAAAUUCUGCCAGUUGGUAUUCAUAUGGGUCAGCUUCAGUCAGUGCUGAGGCUUCCAGAGACUGAAGCAAAGGUUGUGGAGCUCAUUAAGCAGUUCGAUGAUCAGGGCCGGACAAUGUUGCUAGGAGUGGAUGAUAUGGAUAUUUUUAAGGGUAUAAGUUUGAAGUUGCUGGCAAUGGAACAGUUGCUUGUGCAGCAUCCAGAAUGGCGAGGCAAGGUAGUGUUGGUGCAGAUAGCAAAUCCUGCAAG